rnacentral:rRNA from 1 species
UUGAACGCUGGCGGCAGGCCUAACACAUGCAAGUCGAACGGUAACAGGAAGAAGCUUGCUUCUUUGCUGACGAGUGGCGGACGGGUGAGUAAUGUCUGGGAAACUGCCUGAUGGAGGGGGAUAACUACUGGAAACGGUAGCUAAUACCGCAUAACGUCGCAAGACCAAAGAGGGGGACCUUCGGGCCUUUUGCCAUCGGAUGUGCCCAGAUGGGAUUAGCUAGUAGGUGGGGUAACGGCUCACCUAGGCGACGAUCCCUAGCUGGUCUGAGAGGAUGACCAGCCACACUGGAACUGAGACACGGUCCAGACUCCUAAGGGAGGCAGCAGUGGGGAAUAUUGCACAAUGGGCGCAAGCCUGAUGCAGCCAUGCCGCGUGUAUGAAGAAGGCCUUCGGGUUGUAAAGUACUUUCAGCGGGGAGGAAGGGAGUAAAGUUAAUACCUUUGCUCAUUGACGUUACCCGCAGAAGAAGCACCGGCUAACUCCGUG